CUGCCAGGGAGAUAUCUCUGGACUCUACAUGGUGUAAUUUCUUGUCCCUUUCUUCACAUACCUGCCUCAUCCUUGCCAAGAAACUUUCUUCUUUGAGGUGUAUUUGGUGGAAACAUAUGUCUCCUCUCCAGAGCUCUCCUACUGAGAGGGAAAAUGCGAAUGAUGAUAGUCCCGCAUCUACCAGUCCACAUUGCUUGGCUGGGUGCAACAUCCCCAGCAAAAAGUAUUAAAUAAGCCAUUAAUAAACACAUGUGGACUGGAUAUUGUAUAAGUACAUUGAAUAAGUGGAGAUCAAUUUGUAGGUGAACAAGUGGUCAGCAGUAUGUUGUCUUGGUAAGAUGGGAUUUUGGAAGUCAGAGGAUCGUGGAAGUCAGAGGAAGACAGGGAAAGCACUGGUGAUAGGAUCAAAUGACAGAAGACAAAAAAAAAAGG